CCAAAAUACAACAGUUUUUAUCACCAUUUCACAAGAACAGAGAAGUUUAAGACUAAUCUUUAAUUUUCCAAUAUGUGUGCCAGACAACUUCUUGGGUUCUUUCUCCCUUUCUCAAAACAUACCCCAGAUCUGCUCUUCAACAUUCUCUUUAUAGCACUCAUUUUAUCCAGUUAGCUUUCAUUCUCCCUUCUUUAUUACAGCAUUAAAAAAAAAAUAAUAGAAGAUUAAAAAAGGGCUGCCUACUCCUAUUUGCUUUACAAAAAGCCUGGAAAAAGUGUAUGUAGCUUCUGGACUGAUGACCCUUUGGGUGCAGGAGGGAAUUGGCUUGCCUUUUCCUUUCACAUCUCUGGAGAGAAAACCUCUCACAGAAUAGCAUGAAGAAAUAAUUACAAGGACCAGGUUCCUCAUUCGUUGCAUUUGAUGAAGAGUGAUGAUUACAGUCACACAGCAUCUCCCAGCAUCUGAAUUAGCAGCCCAGAUUACUCUUUACACGUAAGCAAGUUCAUCUGUCAAAUUCAUAGGAUUUGGAAAAGCCUGAAUUGCACCCAAGUUGCUCUUUUACCUUCUUCGAGCACCUCACUAUGACAGUGAAGAGAUAUGCAUUUCAGUUACAUGCUGCUUGUGCCCUCUCUGGCUCAGCCAAGUUCAACAAUGUAAAGGUGAUAUAUCAAGUAUGCAGAAGGUCCAAGAGAAAUGGGAUUAGCAAGAAAAUGCCAUGAAGAUGACAAGCAGCUUCUGAAGGCUCCCAACAACUUCAUUUUGAUUUCUUCCCUUAUGCUUGGAGUCAUAGUAGCAGUGGUGGUGACUUUCCCAGGACAAGGCAAAUCACUAUUAAAGCUGAAAGAAGUAGUGCUGGGUUCAUCAACUCUGAGGACACUUGUUUUGCAUGUCUUCACUGUACUGGUGUUAGGGAGGAAACAAGCGUAUACACGUGAAAAAGUUGAAGGCGAGAGGCUUUACGGUACUGUUUCUGAAAGGUCCAUAAGUAAAGAGCCAUAGAGUAA